UUGUUGAGACGUCCUCGCUGUGUUACAUCAGAUCAGAUCAGAUCAGAACAUCACACCGCGCUGGAGGUCAAGGCUCCUUUUAUUACUCAUUAAAGGUUUACUGUCACACAGAGGGCCCUGCUGUGCGACCUGGCUGUGUGUGUGUGUAGUGUGCUGUGUUAUUGUGCGUCUGCAGGUUGAAACAAGCUGAACCGUCCCUGUCUGAGGAACAUCUGAUGCCUUUUCAAGGCGACAGGGUCGUCAGUGUUUACACCGGUGGUGAUUGAAGGCACUUAAAUCAAACUAUAGACCCUGUCAGCCAUUAUUGUGGGGGAGAAAAGGAGCAACUAUAACAACAUGGAAAACAACGUCGACAUUUAAUAUAACCUCAUAACCACACAGCACAGGGGCUGAUGACAGGUCCCUCAUCGUGUUGUUUUGCCUCUGUUUAGUUUUACACGUAUUUCUGGUGAGUUUUGUGAGUUUUUUGCCGUGUCUUUUGCGGUUGUUUGGUGCCACUGCAGCCAUUUUGGAUCUAGCAGUGGUCAUAUUGUGUGUCUUAGCGUUGGGUUGAGUGCUGCUUUACAUCCCCCUGUUCUUUUUGAUUGCUCCUCUUUCUUGUUUUGUCUCAGUUUGCAGAGGGUUUUCAUGCAUUUGUGUUCAUUUUGCAUCUCAUUUAUUUGGUUUGGGGAUUUUCUGGACCUCUGAGACUCUUUCUAAUAUCUUAUCUCGUGUCUCAGAGGUAGUUUUAUCUGCAUCGCCUGUGUUCAGAUUCCCUCUCCUUCUUCCUCUCUCAUUGUUGUUUUCAUGCCGUUGCUCUUUGUAGUUUGUACCGUACAGAAACUCUCAGGCCCCUGGUGUUGUAGUACCUCUCAGUAAUCCAGAAAUAUAAAAAAAACAAUAACUAAACCAAGGUAGAAAAAGACCCGGUCACCUUAACUGACAAAGACCGACCAGUAAACUUUUGUAAAAUCUGAGUUGUCUCUUUUAAGACACUUUGUUCUUCUCUUUUUUUUUUCUUUUUUCUUCUUUUUUUUUUUUUUGCGAUAAAGUUGGGAUGAUGUGUCGUGGAUACGGGGCCAGGGUGGAAGAGGCAUGUUAACCAGCAUGUUCAAAGAGCCGGUCUCCCCACUUCAGAGGGAAUAUUCCACAUCGACGGAGAGAAGUGAAAGUUCAGCUCCGAGUGGAAUUCAGCUGGAAACGAGUCGAUGAUGCGGUUCUGUUCGCUUUUAUCAGAUCUUCAGCAGCCACGAGGUAGUGAUGAGAGAUUUACCAGGCACAUUGUAUCAGAAAUCCAGAUCACAUACCCAUAGUCUGGCCUGGGGACACCUCAGCAUCCCCCAGGAAGACCUGGAAUGUGUUGCUGAGGAGAGGGAUGUCUGGAAGCUUGUUGCCGCGGUGACCUGACCACAGAUAAGCGGAGAACUGAUGGAUGGACUUUGUCUCUGGGGACUCCCCACUUGGCCUCGCUGGACCGUCUGGGGGCCGUUGAGACGAGUGUUGAGGUGACGCUCCCCCCGGGGGGGAGGUUUGUUCUGGCCAUUUGUCACCAGUCCUCAAGGCUUCCUGCAGCUCGUAAAAAGGGUUGAGGUCAGCGUCCUUGCAUCUCCCCGUCCUCAACGAUGUCAGCAGUGCAGCGCAGAUAAACGACCUGACAAGACCACACAAUGUAACCCAACGUCUAAAAGGCCAGACGUAAUCCUUCAACUUCCCUUUCUGUCGAAUCCAUUUCUUACUUUUUUGUGACACGUAAGUGACAGUGUGACACUUUUGAAUCUGAAGGGAUUAGAUUUAUGUACUUUCACAUGGUGGGUGGUGACCUGUCCAUUCAGUGCAUAACAGCUCAUAAGUGUCCAGUAUUUGGUGAGGAAAGUUGAAACAAAAAAAGCCAUUUGGCGUUUUACAGGUUUUUGACAGUCACAGAAAAUAGAUUUAAAAACCCUUAUAAACCUGGAAAGUUAAUUUACAGCUGCCAUUACAAGACUGCUGUUAUUAUUUUUAUAAUAAUAUCUAUUUUAUCCUCCAGUCAUGCAAAAAGAAAAAUAUAUUGAAGAAAGUCAAAUACGACAUUGAUUCAUGUGGCUGCUUUUACUCUGGCGGCCAGUAGGGGGCAGUGCUGCAUUACAGGAAACGAUGCUUAAAGUAAAGCUCUCCCUCUACAUCUCCCCAUACACAGGCCUUGGGCAAGAUUUGUAAAAGAAGGCUAUUUGAGGAGCAUAUUUCCCACCAGAGGUCGACCAUCCUAUUAAGGUGCAAAUUACCAACAUGUCGUCCGUGCUGGAACAAAGCAGUCCUGGCUUUGUGGAGAUGAUAAUGGUUUUGUCUUUCUAAGUUGUCGGUGCCCUCGGUGCAAAAAAAAAAAAAAAAGUCUCCCGUCAUCCUAUAACUAGUUGAUGUUGGUUCCUAAACUUGGGCCUUAAACUCCUCCACAGUGAUUUAACUGUUGGUUUUAAUGAGACACAGAGAGAAGAGUUUGUGUCCCACUGUGUAUAUGUGUUUAUUUGUGUGUUUAAAAUGAUUAGGGGUUGUAUUCUGUCCUUCCAACCUUGUGUCUGCAUGUCAUUAUCACCAUCAUCACAAUCAUCACAAUC